UGGGGAAUUUUGGACAAUGGGCGCAAGCCUGAUCCGGCCAUGCCGCGUGCGGGAAGAAGGCCUUCGGGUUGUAAACCGCUUUUGUCAGGGAAGAAAUCUUCUGAGUUAAUACCUCGGGAGGAUGACGGUACCUGAAGAAUAAGCACCGGCUAACUACGUGCCAGCAGCCGCGGUAAUACGUAGGGUGCAAGCGUUAAUCGGAAUUACUGGGCGUAAAGCGUGCGCAGGCGGUUUUGUAAGACAGAGGUGAAAUCCCCGGGCUCAACCUGGGAACUGCCUUUGUGACUGCAAGGCUUGAGUGCGGCAGAGGGGGGAUGGAAUUCCGCGUGUAGCAGUGAAAUGCGUAGAUAUGCGGAGGAACACCGAUGGCGAAGGCAAUCCCCUGGGCCUGCACUGACGCUCAUGCACGAAAGCGUGGGGAGCAAACAGGAUUAGAUACCCUGGUAGUCCACGCCCUAAAACGAUGUCAACUGGUUGUUGGGAAGGUUCCUUCUCAGUAACGUAGCUAACGCGUGAAGUUGACCGCCUGGGGAGUACGGCCGCAAGGUU
rnacentral:rRNA from 1 species